rnacentral:misc_RNA from 1 species
GAAAUGCUUAAGUUCAGCGGGUCUUCCUACCUGAUCCGAGGUCAACCUUUGGGGUGUUUCUCGCGCGGGGGCGAGGUUUUACGGCCGGUGCCCGCGGCACUCCCUGGGCGAGGUGUUGCUACUACGCUCGGGGUGACAGCGAGCCCGCCACUUCCUUUCGGGGCCUACGGCAGCCGUAGGACCCCAACACCAAGCAGGGCUUGAGGGUUGAAAUGACGCUCGAACAGGCAUGCCCGGCAGAGUACUGCCGGGCGCAAUGUGCGUUCAAAGAUUCGAUGAUUCACUGAAUUCUGCAAUUCACAUUACUUAUCGCAUUUCGCUGCGUUCUCAUCGAUGCUCGUCUGACCAG